CGACCAGUGGCGAAAGCGUUUAACUAGAACGAAUCUGACGGUAAGGAACGAAGGCUAGGGUAGCAAACCGGAUUAGAUACCCGGGUAGUCCUAGCUGUAAACAUUGCCCAUUUGAUGUUGCUUUUCCGUUGAGGGAAGGCAGUGUCGGAGCGAAGGUGUUAAAUGGGCCGCUUGGGAAGUAUGGUCGCAAGACUGAAACUUAAAGGAAUUGGCGGGGGAGCACCGCAACGGGAGGAAUGUGCGGUUUAAUUGGAUUCAACGCCGGAAAACUCACCGGGAACGACCUGUGCAUGAGAGUCAACCUGACGAGCUUACUCGAUAGCAGGAGAGGUGGUGCAUGGCCGUCGUCAGCUCGUACCGUAGGGCGUUCACUUAAGUGUGAUAACGAGCGAGACCCACAUCUUUAAUUGCAAAUGUAUAUGAGAAUAUGCAUGCACUUUAGAGAAACCGCCAGCGCUAAGCUGGAGGAAGGAGUGGUCGACGGCAGGUCAGUACGCCCCGAAUUUCCCGGGCUACACGCGCAUUACAAAGAACGGGACAAUACGUUGCAACCUCGAAAGAGGAAGCUAAUCGCGAAACCCGUCCAUAGUUAGGAUUGAGGGCUGUAACUCGCCCUCAUGAAUCUGGAUUCCGUAGUAAUCGCGGGUCAACAACCCGCGGUGAC
rnacentral:rRNA from 1 species